rnacentral:pre_miRNA from 1 species
UUGGUUUAAAUCAUUGUGUAUCUACACUUUGAAAAUUGAACUCACACAAAGCGGUGAGACAAACAUUAAUUUUAUCCAA